GUCGCGCCCAGACAACAGCGGGAAAAGCGUCCCUGCGGUGGCUUGGCCUUCUCCUCUCUGAGAAGAGGAAGCCCCGGACCUCGGGAGCAGGAAGUGGUCCAGAAACUGCUCAGGUGUGGGUGUAGGUGGUUGAGCAACAGGCAGUCCUGCCUUCUUGAUUCCCCAUAAAGAUACAGUUCUCUGCAGUGCAUCUGAGAAGCAGCAGACAACCCAAAUUCUUGAGUCCCUGCCACCAUGAGGGAGACUUGGAUGGAGUUCCAGAUCCGAGCUUUGAUCUGACCCAGUCCCAGCCAUUGUGACCAUUUGGCUUUCAGGUGAUUGACGAGGACAGAGUCCCUAAGCUGCAAAGAGACUGAAUUUUGGAAACUACGUCCAGAACUCCACAGUGCGUAUUUAAGUGCUCUUCCCUCAGGCCUGCAGGCGGACAGCAAGAGCAACAGAGGCUGAUUUUCCAGCCGAUAUAUGGAUCAUCUUCAUUUCUUCCUAAUGGAGGCGUGCAUUGGUAUCUGGGAAUCUAGCCUCAUCUGCCCAUGAUGUCAGCAGGUCAGGACCAUGGGAAAUCUCCUCUGGCCUCCUUCUCAGCAUGUGCCAUUCCAACCACUCCCACCAUCUUCACAGAAUUCCUGACCCCUGGGGCUUUCCUCAUAUGCUCAAGAGCUGUGUGGUUGGUUUCUGUGUCUGUGGGUGUUAGUGUGAGGGUGAAAGGAACCUUGGAGAGCAGGACAGGUGUCUGUCUCUUGGUGGCAUAGGUGACAGCCAUAGAUCUGAGGUGUUAAGUCAGGUAUUCAGGUGCACCCUGUAGAUCUUGGCUGGUCGAGGAAGAGACACCAGUGGCACAGCCUCAGUUCUGGAGCUGGAGAAAGGGUGAAUUUUUAUUAACAUAUUUUAGAAAGUUGAAAUUUUAAGGAAUUUUUUGUCAGAAAAUGCUGCACUGAAAGAAGACUGGAGAAAAGGUGAAUAAGGUUGAGAUUUUAAGGAUUUUUUUGGUCAGAAAUUGGUGCACUGAAAGAAGACCAAUGCGUCUCCAGGUGUACAGAGUACAGUUCUAAAAAUUCUGUAGAAAGUCUGUCUCAUCCAAGAUGGCAAUGGGAUGGAGCUGGGGGUUCAGGCCAUUUGGGAUGAAAUGUGUGUGGGUGAAUGUCUAUUGCACCUCUGUCACUAUUUACCUAUCUGUAAGAUUAGUGCUACUAGUGAAAUGUCCCUGCAUUCCCUGAGAAAUCCUCGUGAGGUGUGUGCAGGCUGACUUACACUAUGUGGCAAUUGCAAUUUUGGGGUUUCAUGGUAUAUCAUCUUCUAGUAAAAUUUCUGUUUUCCUGCAUUGUGUAGCCUGCCUUGCACUACUCUUUCAAGGUUACAGAACUUUAUACAAGACCUAGUUUGCAAAAAUGUGGAAGUUUGGAUACUCUGUGACAAUCCCGUUUGCAGAGAGAGAGAUGUCUUCCAUUUGCUGAUUUACUCUCCAACUGGCCACAAUGGCCAGAGCUGCACCAAUCCAAAGCCAGGAUCCAAGAGCUUCUUCCAGGUCUCCCAAGCAGGUGCAGAGGCCAAAGGACUUGGGCCAACUUUUACUGCUUACCCAGGCCAUAGCAGAGAACUGGAACUGAAGUAGAACAGCUGGGAUUUGA